GAUGAACGCUGGCGGCGUGCUUAACACAUGCAAGUCGAACGGUGAAGCCAAGCUUGCUUGGUGGAUCAGUGGCGAACGGGUGAGUAACACGUGAGCAACCUGCCCUUGACUCUGGGAUAAGCGCUGGAAACGGCGUCUAAUACUGGAUAUGAGCCUCUUCCGCAUGGUGGGGGUUGGAAAGAUUUUUUGGUCUGGGAUGGGCUCGCGGCCUAUCAGCUUGUUUGUGAGGUAAUGGCUCACCAAGGCGUCGACGGGUAGCCGGCCUGAGAGGGUGACCGGCCACACUGGGACUGAGACACGGCCCAGACUCCUACGGGAGGCAGCAGUGGGGAAUAUUGCACAAUGGGCGAAAGCCUGAUGCAGCAACGCCGCGUGAGGGAUGACGGCCUUCGGGUUGUAAACCUCUUUUAGCAGGGAAGAAGCGAAAGUGACGGUACCUGCAGAAAAAGCGCCGGCUAACUACGUG
rnacentral:rRNA from 1 species